GGUUUGGGCGACUCUAGAGGGGACUGCCGGCGACGAAGUCGGAGGAAGGUGGGGAUGACGUCAAAUCCAUCAUGCCCCUUAUGACCUGGGCUACACACGUGCUACAAUGGGCGGUACAAAGGGCUGCGAACCCGCGAGGGGAGCGAAUCCCAAAAAGCCGCUCUCAGUUCGGAUUGCAGGCUGCAACUCGCCUGCAUGAAGCCGGAAUCGCUAGUAAUCGCGGAUCAGCAUGCCGCGGUGAAUACGUUCCCGGGCCUU
rnacentral:rRNA from 1 species